CAGACAGCUAACGGUUUCAAUGAACAUUGGAGGCGGAAGUUAUAAUGAUGCAGCACCAGAAUUGAACCAGGACCGGAAAACUGCCCAAUCAUCUCAUCUUUGGAGCUCUUCAUUUUUAAAAAACACAACUAAAUUCAAAGUUUAUACUAGAUAAUAGCUUACUAUAUAAAGCUGUGUCUUUUUUUUAACAACAAGUUCACAUGUUAGCUCUCAGCACAACUGUGGAUAGAAAAAAAACAGAAAACUCAGGACAGGGAAGGAUCAGCUUUAUUUAAGUUUUGAGGGACAUUUGAUAGUUUUUGAUGAUGAUUUUCUCUAUGUGAUUACAUGAGCUUUCCCCAGAUUCAGACCUCAGGACCAACCAGUGAUAGACAAAAAUCAUUCUAUACUCUCGGAUGAAUACACUUAAUUGUUGUAAUGA
ensembl:lncRNA